ACAUGCCUACAACAUAGAUUUAAUGUAUUGGAUCCCACUAGAACUUUGCAGUUAAGUGCGCUCGAGAUAGAGUAGUACUGGGAUGGGUGAUCACUCAGGAAGUCCUAGUGUUUUACAUGCA
rnacentral:rRNA from 1 species